ACAGGAGCAGCUUCAUCUCUGCAGCCCAACUGGUCUCCAAAGGUCUCAGACUCUUUCUAACUGGUCUCCAAAGGUCUCAGAAUAUUUCUAACUGGUCUCCAAAGGUCUCAGACUCUUUCUAACUGGUCUCCAAAGGUCUCAGACUAUUUCUAACUGGUCUCCAAAGGUCUCAGACUAUUUCUAACUGGUCUCCAAAGGUCUCAGACUAUUUCUAACUGGUCUCCAAAGGUCUCAGACUAUUUCUAACUGGUCUCCAAAGGUCUCAGACUAUUUCUAACUGGUCUCCAAAGGUCUCAGACUAUUUCUAACUGGUCUCUGAAGGUCUCAGACUCUUUCUUACUGGUCUCCAAAGGUCUCAGACUAUUUCUAUCUAGUCUCCAAAGGUCUCAGACUAUUUCUAUCUAGUCUCCAAAGGUCUCAGACCCUUUCUAACCUGUCUUAGCUGCAUUAUCCAUCCAGAGA
ensembl:lncRNA